UACGAAGGGGGCGAGCGUUGUUCGGAUUUACUGGGCUUAAAGCGUGCGUAGGCGGAUUUGUAAGUUAGAAGUGAAAGCCCUGGGCUUAACCUAGGAAUUGCUUUUAAGACUGCAGAUCUAGAAACCGGAAGAGGUUGAGGGAAUAUCCAGUGUAGAGGUGAAAUUCGCAGAUAUUGGAUAGAACACCAGUGGCGAAGGCGCUCAACUGGUCCGGUAUUGACGCUGAGGCACGAAAGCGUGGGUAGCAAACAGG
rnacentral:rRNA from 1 species